ACGUAGGUUGCGAGCGUUGUCCGGAUUUACUGGGCGUAAAGCGCGCGCAGGUGGUCCUGAAAGUCGAGCGUGAAAGCUCCCGGCCCAACUGGGAGAGGCCGUUCGAAACUUCAGGACUUGAAGGCGGGAGAGGCAAAUGGAAUUUCCGGUGUAGCGGUAAAAUGCGUAGAUAUCAGGAGGAACACCGGUGGUGUAGACGGCUUUCUGGACCGUAACUGACGCUGAGACACGAAAGCGUGGGUAGCAAACAGGA
rnacentral:rRNA from 1 species